rnacentral:rRNA from 1 species
CCUACGGGAGGCAGCAGUGGGGAAUAUUGCACAAUGGGGGAAACCCUGAUGCAGCGACGCCGCGUGAGUGAAGACGUAUCUCGGUACGUAAAGCUCUAUCAUCAGGGACGAAAAUGACGGUACCUGACUAGGAAGCCCCGGCUAACUACGUGCCAGCAGCCGCGGUAAUACGUAGGUGGCAAGCGUUGUCCGGAUUUACUGGGUGUAAAGGGCUCGUAGACGGCCGCCCAAGUCUGGUGUGAAAUCCCGGGGCUUAACCUGGGGCCUGCAUUGGAAACUGUUCGGCUGGAGUGCAGGAGGGGUAAGUGGAAUUCCUAGUGUAGCGGUGAAAUGCGUAGAGAUUAGGAGGAACACCGGUGGCGAAGGCAGUUCUCUAAACUGUGACUGACACUGAUGCUCGAAAGUGUGGGGAGCAAACAGGAUUAGAUACCCGGGUAGUC